UUGAACCUCUAAAAUUAUACUUAUUGAACUUCAUGUGGUUUUUGCAAAGAACUCGCCGGUAUUUUUGUUUGUUGAAUUUCGUUUUUGGUUUCCAAGGCUUUUUAAACAUACGAACUUUACUGUGUUUUCAAUGGAUUUUGGAUUACAACAAGCACCUAUGGAGCAUCCGCACUUGCACAACAAAUUUGACUCUAAGUGCUAUAUAUUUUGUGCAGUAUAAAAUACAUAUAACAUGGUGCCAAACUGCAGAAAAAGACCAAAUCCAAACUGCUCCCAUAUACUGUACCAAGCUGAACCUCAAGCAUGUUACCUCAAGUACGGCCAAACAUCAAGACCAGAAGCAUUAUACCACUACUGAACCUAUACGGCCGACUAGCAUUAGUAUUUUUGAACUGCCCGUGAUGGAGCACCUGGCCGUCAACAGCAUCACGGGCUGCAGCUUGGCACUGCGCCCUCAGCCCGGAACAACUUGUAGGCAAACUUUUCUGCCUUGUUGAACACAAUGUAAGUGAAGGAAAAAAAUCACCUAAUAACUGGGACAAAAUGCAUCGUACAAGUGCAGAAUAAAAGUUAAGAAGAAACUAGUCUCCUUUUGCUCACAUGGGCGGAGUAGCACGGCCUGAGGUGGCGAAGUUGAACAGCCUGUGCGCUGCUCAUCUGUUCUCUUCGUGGUGAGUGAUUUUUAAACUCCUUCGGUAGUCGUACAUGACCUUCUCGCAAAGCAAUAUGUUCAUAACAUGAAAAACAUCUCGCAUGCACCAAUAAACAAAAAGGAGAACAAAAUUACUGUCAGUGAAUCACCUCACAAUUAAAUCAAGUCUGAUGCUCAUACAUAAAGAAACAAUCAAGAAUUUUAGUGUGUGCGGCAAAGCGAUGCUUUUUUUACCCCACUAGGUGUUACCUAGCUAAAACCUAAAUGAUCUUAUCCUUCUGUGCAACGAACAUGCAAUCUCCAACUCACCAUUUUUCUUCUUCCGUCUUCUUCCUUGUGUGCCCAAAUCCCAAGUUCUACCACCGAUAGCAACUUAGUUUGUAAAAUAAAAUAAAAUAAAACGUCAGCAGUUUGGCCUUCAGAACGGAUUUGGCUGCAGUGCACUGAAAAAGCAAUCUGAAUGUACUAAAAAUAUAUCUCCGAACCUUGAUUCCCCAUUACCUCUGAACUGCAUUCCGCCUAAAAACUAUCAUGCGAAUUGCUUCUGCAGAAUAGGACGAGCUGGUUCGUCAUGGUGGUGACUGAAACACAAGGCUUUACAGAAGCACACAAGAAGAAUUAGCAUUUCACGGCGUUGUUGCAUUUUGGAGAAGAAAACUCUUUUUUCCAAUAUUGAAGGACCUGUGAUACUGAACGAACAUAUCACUACAUCCAACUUUUUUGCACCUGCAAAUAUGUCUGAACUUCAGACAAGAAAGUCACUUAGAAACAAUACAGAAACUGGGCAUAGUACAGCCGCAUGGAACAACAGGUAAGCGAGAUGGAGAGAGGAUGGACCUUGCAGGCGUCGAUGUGCUGGGCAGCCACAUGCCACAAAGACCGGGCAGGUGGUGGUCCUGGUAGUAGCCGAGACGGGUGGAGGAACUUGGUCGCGCGGGUUGGCGGGUUGGAUUGGAAUCCAGGCGACACGGUGGACCGCGUUGGCCGGCGAGGUUGAACU
rnacentral:lncRNA from 1 species